GUGAGGAAUAUUGGACAAUGGGCGGGAGCCUGAUCCAGCCAUGCCGCGUGUGUGAAGAAGGCCUUCGGGUUGUAAAGCACUUUCAGUGGGGAGGAAAGGGCAGUUGCUAAUAUCAGCUGCAGUUGACGUUACCCACAGAAGAAGCACCGGCAAACUCCGUGCCAGCAGCCGCGGUAAUACGGAGGGUGCGAGCGUUAAUCGGAAUUACUGGGCGUAAAGCGCGCGUAGGCGGUUGCUUAAGCUAGAUGUGAAAUCCCCGGGCUCAACCUGGGAACUGCAUUUAGAACUGGGCGACUAGAGUUUUGGAGAGGAGGGUAGAAUUCCAGGUGUAGCGGUGAAAUGCGUAGAGAUCUGGAGGAAUACCAGUGGCGAAGGCGGCCCUCUGGCCAAAAACUGACGCUGAGGUGCGAAAGCGUGGGGAGCAA
rnacentral:rRNA from 1 species